CCGAAACUAUUUUAAAUCCGAGAACUCGGAAUGGCGCAAGUGUCUAGGGGAUAGGCUCCCCCCGCUCCAAAGUCGAAAGUGAAAGUCGCGCGAAGCAGAAAACUACUGAAGCAGUACGUGAGAAAUGAAAAUUGAAGUUGCUGAUAAAAGUCGUCUUUGAUUUCGAUUAUAUUCUCUAGCCUUUCUUCUGAGUUUGUGCCAUUUGCCAGUGAAUGUUAUGAUGAAGAUGACAUGUCAUAGCGCUAUCCUUAAGCUAAAGGCAUACUUUGUGCUCUGAGGGAUAGAGGUAUCCAAGAAUGGCCAUUGCCUGUUGAUCCCCCAACUUCAAAUUUAGCAAAAGCAUUUGUAGCUACCUGGAGAUCCAAUUGAUGUUUGUCGCAUGUUAGUGUUGCAAUAACUUCAUGUUCGAUUUAUGAGAUUGAGAUAUAGUCAACAUAUUUGAGAUCAGGGAAAAUCUUCUUCAGCUGGACACACUAGACAAAGCAAUACCAGAGGAUGCAUACACUUCCCGAGUACAUCAAUGGUAACUGUACCAUGUCUUCCUGCAAACUCUGUUCAGAUGUGUAGUUUCUCUCUCCGGUCAUAUGUUCAACUAUAGCUUCUUCAAGUUCUUUUGCCAGUAAUUCGAGUUGUAGCUGGUCUCCAUCAUCCAUCUGCAACCGGUGGGAUAGUUUAUUGUCAUCUUCUUCAGUGGUAUCUUCUUCUUCUUCUUCCAUCUGAAUCUCUUGAUCCAUUAAAAAGGUUUGCUGCUCAAGAUUACCUAUUCUUUUUUCCUUCUCUUCUGUAUCUAAUUCGAGUUGUAGCUGGUCUCCAUCAUCCAUCUGCAACCGCUGCGAUAGUUUAUUGUCAUCUUCUUCAGUGGUAUCUUCUUCUUCUUCUUCCAUCCGAAUCUCUUGAUCCAUUAAAAAGGUUUGCUGCUCAAGAUUACCUAUUCUUUUUUCCUUCUCUUCUGUAUCUAAUUCGAGUUGUAGCUGGUCUCCAUCAUCCAUCUGCAACCGCUGCGAUAGUUUAUUGUCAUCUUCUUCAGUGGUAUCUUCUUCUUCUUCUUCUUCUUCUUCUUCUUCUUCUUCUUCCAUCCGAAUCUCUUGAUCCAUUAAAAAGGUUUGCUGCUCAAGAUUACCUAUUCUUUUUUCCUUCUCUUCUGUAUCUAAUUCGAGUUGUAGCUGGUCUCCAUCAUCCAUCUGCAACUGCUGCGAUAGUUUAUUGUCAUCGUCUUCAGUGGUAUCUUCUUCUUCUUCUUCUUCUUCUUCUUCUUCUUCUUCAAUCCGAAUCUCUUGAUCCAUUAAAAAGAUUUGCUGCUCAAGAUUACCUAUUCUUUUUUCCUUUUCUUCUGUAUCUAGUUUGAGGAGUUCCUCAAUUUCUGCCUGUGCAAGCAACGAUAAUUCUAAUUCCUUGCGCAUAGAUUGGCUUCCUGUAACCUGCCUCUCCAGGUGCGCUGCUAUAGAUUUCCAAUUUUCUAACUCAAAUUCUACUUCAUUUCUCUCGUUGCUUUGGUCCGUUAACUCAGAAUCCAUCAUAUCUAGAGCAUCACGCGCUUCUUCUAGUUCAUCUUUUAUUUUGUCGAGUUCCUCUUGCAUUCCAAGCUUUUCCUCCCGUUCCUUCUCUAAUUGCUCCAUCAAGUGUGCUACACCACCCUCUCUCUCUUGCGAACCUUCUGAUCGCAUCAACUGUAACAUUAAAGACAACUCUUCGUUCUGCAUCUUCAACUGUGUUAAUGAUGUAUUGCACCCUUCUAAUUCUUUUUUAAGCUCUUCUAUGAGCUCAUCUUUAAUCUGCAAGCUAGAACUACAUCUUCUAAGCUCUUGAUUGAUUCUGUAUGCUUUACAACUCCACUCAACUUCCUUUGCCUUGAGCUGUUCAGAAGAUUCUCGGUGGCUCUGCUCUAAUGAUUUCAGUCUUGUUUUCAGCUUAGCCCAUGAAGAUGGAGUUGGAACUGCUUUUGGAAUAUGAGCUUCUUGGAGUUCUUUAAUGGAGUUGCUAGAUGAAAGAGAGAGAAAUAGAGAGAAACAAAAUUCAUGAAAAGGCAGAAGAAGAAGGAGAAAAUCAAGAGAAAAUCAAGUCGUUAAAAAUAGCCGUUAAAGAUGAUGGGGGAAGAAGGCCUCGGAGGUUUAAAAAUUUCUGUUGCCUUUUCCUUUGGAUCCGUUGAAGUAGACAUCACUAGCCGUUAGGUGUUGGGUGGGCCAGAAUGACGUUUGGUUUGGGCUUUGAGUUGUCCGAGGAUUUUUGGGCCGGAAUGUCAAUUGUGGGCCGGUUUGGUUUUUUUAAGGAUCAUAAAUGGGCCAAAAAAAUUGCUUCAUAUUAGUCUCCUAUGUAUGACUGAUUCAUUGAGAUCAUCGUUUGCAUCACAAUCUUGUCAAUGGAGUACGUGAAAUUUUGGAGGUUGAUUUUUUUUUUUUAUCAGAAAAGUAGAAUUAUACAAUAGACAGAAAAGGUUUCUGCAUACUUUUAUUACUCGGAAGUGCUAGAAAAAAAGCAUCUAUACCUAACAAGAUUAAAUAAAUGUUCAAAGUUGUGGUCGUUUUAUUUCUAUCUUUCUACACAUAAUUGUAGAAUGAAAAAAUUCUUCAAGAGUGUCUUUUUUUUUUUUGAUCCAUAUGAGCCACGAAGGCGGUACAAAGUACAAAGAAGGGGAGGGGGGAUUCGAACCUGUAACCUAUCGUUCACAUCACCUCAAUCUCAACCACUAGACCAAGGCAUCCUUGGUAAGAUUCUUCAAGAGUGUCAGGGUCCAUAAAUGUAUUUUAUACACAAGGUUUAGUUUGGAUGAACACAAAACAUUUUUAGUAUAAUAUGAUUUUUCAUGAAAAAACAUGUUUCUAGGGAAACUCGAUAUUUGCUCACUCCUGCGUGAACUAUUUUUCUUGAGAAGGAAAAUAUUGUUCACUCCUGCGUGAACUAUUUUUCAAAUUUCCACCAUAUGAAAAAUUGGCCCUUAAGAAGCAAAAACAAAGAAAAAUGAAAUAAGCUACAUUUUUUAGAAUAUAUUAUCUUAUUAGAGUUAUGAUAAGUAUAUUAUAUUUAAGGAAACGAGUUUAAUAUACUUUUCAUAACUCUCAUAUAUCUACUCAACCAAAUACUCACAAAACAUAGAUACUACUACAAGAUAGUGUAGGAUAUAGGAUAACAAUUUCCGUUCAUACAAAUGAUUCACUCAAAUAGCAAAUUAAGGAACAAAAAAAGGAAGAUAAAAAGUAUUGAACCAAUGAUAGCUAGUUACUCCCUCUGUUUCAUAUUAUAAGGCAUUUUAGCUAAAAGAAUUUGUUUCAAAUUAUAAGGCAUUCUACAAUACCAAUGUAAGAUUAAAUGCAAUUUUAUAUUAUCAAGAUAAGCUUAUAGGUUGUUUUGUAUUAUCAAUACAAUAUUAAAUGUCAAUUCUUAUUACCCAUGCAAAACUAACUAAAAUUAACUAAAUUAUUAAUUUGUGUGCAAAAACCUUAAACGACUUAUAUUUUGAAACGGAGGGAGUACAAAAGUACACAUAAUCCUGUUCUUAUUUAAGCAAGGUUUUCAUAAGACCUACAGUAAUAUGUACCAUCAAAACCCACAAAUUCCUCCAAGCUAGGACUCUAAUUCUCUAUCAUUAUUCUUCAAGUGGUUCUGGUGGAGUGGAGAAAUGAUAAACAUCUAAUUGCUAGAUGUUUGCCAAACAUCUAACAUUAAUGUGGCAACAUGUGAGUGGUACACAUGUCACUAUAUUGUUUAUCCAAACAAAUUACUUUUUCCAAUUUUUUAAACUUGUAUAUCUCAAAAAAUAUAUUUUAGAAAAAAAUAAAAAAUAUACCAAUAUUCAUAUAUUUUUAUUCUCUACAAAUAGACAUCCAUCUUGAUAUAAUUUCAUCAUAUUUUUAUUUUACUCUUCUCUAUCUCUUAUUUAGAUAUGUAAAAAAAAAAUACGAACACUAUCUGUUUAUACACAAACACUAGUGUGAGUUGCAUAAACACUAGUUAUAGUUACACGAACACUAGUUCUAGUAGCAUGAACACUGUAUAUUAGCAUCGGAAUCUUCUGACAGUGUCCAAUUAAAAAAAUACGAACGCUAUCUGUUUAUACAUAAACACUAUUUUUAGUUGCAUAAACACUAGUUAUAGUUACACGAACACAAGUUGUAGUAGCAUGAACAUCAUAUAUUAGCAUCGAAAUUUUCUGACAGUGCCCAAUUUUCGAGAUUACUUUUUUGUUUGACUGAUAACUUUUUUCAUGUAUAUUGACAAUUUUACCCCUGCUAGAUGUUUAUAGAUGUUUAUCAUUUCUGGUGGAGUGUAUAGGAUAAGAUUUUAGUGCUCUAGUCUUCAAAUGUUUUCCCGAAUCUAGAAGCACCACAUUGACACAUUGCUCACCUCUCACAACUGUCCAAAAAGUAGGAUUUAAUCAUAAGAUAUAGCCAUUUGGGUGUAGUUUGUUUCUCUUUCCAAAAAUAAGUAUUUCUUUCACCAGUGAUAUUUAAAAAUAAUUAAAUAUUCAGACCAAUCAACAAUACAUUAUAAUAAUAUUUUCUAUAAAAUUAUGUUCAAAGUUAAAGUACUAUUAAGAGCACCUCCAAUGGGUAAAAAUACCCUCCCCAUAUGGAGUCUCUCUUCUCAAAUGGGCCUCCACAUGAGUGGGGUUGGUUCCCCAUUUAAUGAGCAUGCUCAAGUUUAGGGGAGGUGCCCAAAUGAAGAAGAAAUUAGAAGCUUACACGUGGCGGGGAAAGUAGGAGAGAGAAAAGGUGGUGGGGUAUAGGAAAUAAGAGAGAGAAGAUAAAUGGGGAGGUAGAUGAGUGGAGGUAUGUGUUUCAAAUUUGAGUAAGGUAAAAUGGGGAGGUAGUGGAAAAUGAGGUGGACAAAUAAGGUGAGGAGAGAGAAAAAAUGAGGUGCCCCAUGAAUGGAGGUAGUGGAAAAUGAGGUGGACAAAUAAGGUGAGGACAAAUAAGGUAAGUGUUUCAAAACAGAAAUAGUAACAUAAUAUGGAGUAUAUCUCUAUUAUAUAAGGGAAGAGGGGAGCAAUGGUGUCCUCUUUUGAAAUGCCUAUUUUGCCCCCUUCCUUUUCUAAAUUACAAAAGGAAUGUCAAAAUCAAAAUUGGCACUCAAAGAAAAACUACCGAAAAUUAAUUUACAACACUCACUCACAAAUCACUUAAAAUUUUACAAAUCACUCAUACAAUUGAGAAAAUCACAUUAUAAAAAUUACGCAGAUCACUCAAAUAAUCAGAAAACUUUAUUAAAAUUUAAAAUUAAUAUACAAACUAAAACUAAUAACCUAGAACGUCAAUACAUACAAAAACAUUUACAAAAAUUUACUUACAAAUCACUAUUCUCAAGAACCAUUCACAAUUAAUGGUGGGUUAUGAUAAAAAUAGAGAUGUAUUUGUAGUGAAAUCAGAAUUUAGAAGUUAGACAAGGAAAAAAAUUAUUUACUUUUUUAUAGUAUUUGGAAUUUAGAAGUUAGUACUGUAGUUAAUUCAAAAAUCAACUAAAAAAUUAUAAUAUUAGAAAUCAUAAAUAAAUUCAAUAAAAUUUCUAUUUUGUUCAUAGAUUUUAACUUUGAAAAGUUAAAAAAAAAAGACAAAAAUAAUGGUGAUAGACUUAAGUGAUAGAAACUAAACCAAUCAAAUUUUGCAACUAAAAACAAUUAUACUUCAUAUGUCUAAUGUUCAAAUUUUGACUCUUAUGCCGAAGAAAAUUGAGUUUUUGUUUCGAAAAAAAUUCAAAAAAUUCUAGUUCCUAUAUGUUGUGAGCUUGUGACAUAUGCAAUUAAUGAACAAUUGACUUAAGAAUAACAAUGUGUUAGCUACAUCUACAAGCAGUGGAAAAAUAAUUUUUAUUAGGUUUAGGAGAGAGUACAGAUUUCAGAAUAUAGAAGCAAAAGUUAAUUAUAGGUUUUAGCGUCAUAUAAUUAGUUCUAAGGCAAUGAUUUAACACUAUAAAUAUGAGAACCUUUUAUAGACUAUGAGGUAGGAGGAACGUUCAUGUAUACUUCUUCCUCCUAUUCACCGUGUAAGAAGGCACGUUAACAUUUAUCUAAUGAAGCACCUAAUUUUUUAGAAGCGGCAAUGGUAAAAAAAAAAACCACGAACUAUCGUCAUUUGGCAA